AAAAAACGUUCCUGUUAGAUGCUAAAGGAAGUGCUUCGUGUGUCUCAUCUUUUCUAUAUCACAGAAUGAGAGAGAGAGACAAGACUACCUUGGAGCCCGGAGCCAUGAUGCAGAGCUUUUGCAUGCCUGCUUACAUCUCUCACUAUCCCCUCAACCAGCCAUGGCAGCUGUGUGUGUAAAGAAAAUGCCAUGUGAGCCUGCAUUCUGAGAUCUAAAGACUUUUAGCUUUAAGCUUUUAGCUGCGUCAAGACCUGGACCUAAUUGUUUCAGUCAGGCUUCUGAAAAGAUCACCUACUUUGGUUUUUCUUUUUUUUUGAGAGUUCAUUAUUUUAUUUCGUUGAGUGUACUCAAAUCACAAUGUUCCAAAUGAAAGCAGCGUGAGGAUCCAUGCCAUUUUGCUAUUCGAAACCAAUUUCUUCAAGUGUUGGACAAGGUAGUACAUUUCACAAAAGACAUUUUAUCCAUCUAACAAGUAAUCUGAGAAAUACUUGAAUCACUCUUUUUUUUUUUUUUUUUUUCAGCAAAGCACCACUCCUGCUUUUAUGUCUUUAGCCAUGCCAUCUUAUCAACAGCUUCAUUUCAAGGGGGCGGGGGGAGCAAUUAAAAUUGUAAUAACUGAUUUUAUUAAAAGAUGAUUGAAUCUUGCUAAUACUUGUGCUCCGAUUAAAAAGCAAUAUCGCAAGUAAUGUGGUUUCAAAGAUGUCCCACACAAUUGUCAAAUGCUCCACUGUACAUUGUCAGUUGCAUGUCAGUUGCAUGGUGUACAAUUUAAACCAGAUGUGUGCAUACAAAACUUAUCAUAGUCUUUUUUUCACUUACAUUGACUCAUAUUUAACUUUUCCGGUUUUAGAUCAGCUAGAAUGACUAAAGUUUUCUUCUAUGCCUGAACAGUUUAUAGUCACCUGAUCAUACAUAUGAUUGUAAUAAACUGAUAGCUGAAGCAGA